UUGAUUAUUCUUCUUCUUGUUGCAUGAUUAAACAAGCUCGAACCGGCAUUUCUUCGACCAUGCCAUGCUUAGCACUGUUCUGAAAUGAUAAAGAUACUAUGCGCCAUGCUUUCUCAAAUGAAGGUCGAUACUCUGCAGUCUGCAGACUCUGCACCAUACUCUCUCAAAUGAAGGUCGAGUAUGCCAGCACUGAAAUAAAAAAUGAGGAGUGGCUUGUCAAUGCAAUGAGGGAUUUCUUGAACGACAAGAGGUACAGAUUAUUCCAUUGCAAAUUAAUUUUGCACUUCUUAUAUAUAUAAGGUACCUGCCUAAGCUACUCUAAGCAUUUUAAUUAAUAUCACUGGGGUAAUCGAGAGCCCUAGCCUUAUUAUUGGCAUCAUCAAUGUAUUUGCCUGAGCUAAUCAUUCCAAUUGUUAAUGCUUUUUAAGAUCGGUGAAACAUGUUGGUUUUAAUAAAUUAUACCUUCCCUUCUUCUAAAAAGUAUAUACUAACUCUAGUAGGUACCUUCCCUUCUUAAAAAACAAAACUAAUUGUUGAGAAACUCAAUUUAUGCAGCAUUUAACUUUUAAGCCGAUCUGAGCUAACAUGGUUUUGUUCAAUAAUGCACUUCUCUUUGUAAUGUUAACUGCUCAAUUCAUGACGAGGAGAAUGUACAGUACAUGAAAGACGGCCUGAUGGACCGUACCCGAUAUGCAUCACGACUGGUUUCUACGCCGUUUCUGAGGAUGGAACCUGGAACUGGAUGCACUACCUGGUUGCAUUGUUCGUUCAUCGUGAGCUACACUCUAUCGCCAGUUCGCCUUACCAUUAGUUAUAAACAUUAAUAUGGAGUGCGUAUAUGUCAUCAGUGUGAACUAUCGCAUGGAUCGUAUCUCAGAGUUUGAGGCAAGGGAGCUUUAUUUCAUACAGAUCGUAUAUCAAUGAAGAUCGACAAGGACUCCAUACUCAGAAACACAACACUCACAUGAUGUAGUGGCUAAAAUACGCUAACUCAGCUCGUGCAUGGUUUGGUUCUGCUUUCUCCUAAAUGCACUAACUCAGCUCUUCAGCUGCCAUCCUUCCCAGUAGUUGAGCUUCACGAAUAACAUGCGCCACAAAGGAGCGGCAAGGAAGAUGAGCUCAAAACAUUUCCAGCAUCAUCAGGCAUUCGGACUCGAGGAUCGCCUGGUCCGACCAAGGGGAGGCAUGCUGGAUUCACUCUUAACUAUGAAGCACACUGGAAACUCUAUUCGAGAAUCUUAUUUCAUGUUGAAACAAUGUUCAUAAUUCAUAAUAAAUCCUCUCCAUUCUCCCUCAUUCUAAAAAAAUCAUUUUUCUCCAUCUCUAAAACAUAAAACAAAGUAUAAUAACAAUAAAUGAAGUGAGGAUGAAGUAGCUAACCUUGACAACACUUUGGAUGAGUGAAAUCCCCACGGAAAUGAGAAAAAAAAUCGGGCAACACCUCCCUGAGGUUCCUUGCUCGCCAUAGAGGAGCCCGAAGCUCUCGG
rnacentral:lncRNA from 1 species